rnacentral:lncRNA from 1 species
AUCUGACUGGGAGAUGAACAGAGCCAGUCAAGAGGUCCCCGCUGCCUCUCCUGAGCAAAGCAGCUGUGGGCAUCAUUAACACGGGGCCUGGAAGAAAUCCGGCAAGGGCAGAGGGAAGCCAGGCUAUGAGGCCUCUAAGAGUGCUCCGUGGAAAAGAGAAUGCGCAGCUCAGGCUGGAGCCUUCUCCAUGGUGCUGAUUAUAACCAAGCUCUACCCUCAAGCCCUCUUCAGAGGUCUUCCAGCUGGCAUCCAGAGGGGGUGAGAUGAUCUAUCAGAUACCUGCAGAUGAGCUGGGAGAGGGCAGCAUCACCUGCUACUUACCAAGUUUGGGUCCAGAACAAAGGAAUAUAGCUGAGAAUAGGUGAACUAAGGGGUCUGAUUGCCUGUGUGUCGGAUCUCUCCAUAACAACCAGGCAAACGAGACAAUCCUGCUGCUCAGAUCUGCUUGGCACCUGCCUCCCAGGGAACCUUGGAAACGGGGCUCCACCUUUCCCUAGCAGCAUCUUGGAGGUAGUUUCCAGUGUGGGGAGGCUCACUGCCUGUCUUUGGGAUCCCUCAUUUACUUUCCUGAAGAGAGACGGUUUCUAUUGAAUAUAGCACAAUUCAUCAUGAAGAGUCCCGGACUUGGAGUCAGAAAGACCUGGGUUUGAAUUAUGACUCAGGCACACACUAGCUAAAUGACUCUAGGAAAGUCACAUAAACCUCUCUGAGAACACAUUUCCUCAUCUAUAAAAUGGGAGUAAUAAUAAAAGAAUUAUUGUGAGGUUGAAAAACUGUUUC